rnacentral:rRNA from 1 species
GAUGAACGCUGGCGGCGUGCCUAAUACAUGCAAGUCGAGCGAACGGACGAGAAGCUUGCUUCUCUGAUGUUAGCGGCGGACGGGUGUGUACCACGUGGAUAACCUACCUAUAAGACUGGGAUAACUUCGGGAUAUCGGAGCUAAUACCGGAUAAUAUUUUGAACCGCUUGGUUCAAAAGUGUUAGAUGGUCUUGUUGUUACUUUUAGAUGGAUCCGCGCUGCAUUAGCUAGUUGGUAAGGUAACGGCUUACCAAGGCAACGAUGCAUAGCCGACCUGAGAGGGUGAACGGCCACACUGGAACUGGGACACGGGCCAGACUCCUACGGGAGGCAGCAGUAGGGAAUCUUCCGCAAUGGGCGAAAGCCUGACGGAGCAACGACGCAUGAGUUAUGAAGGGCUACGGAUCGUAAAACUCUGUUAUUAGGGAAGAACAGAUGGGUAAGUAACUGUGCACAUCUUGACGGGACCUAGUCAGAAAGCAACGGCUAACUACGUG